AUUGAACGCUGGCGGCAUGCUUUACACAUGCAAGUCGAACGGCAGCACGAGGGUAACCUUGGUGGCGAGUGGCGAACGGGUGAGUAAUACAUCGGAACGUAUCUUGAAGUGGGGGAUAACGCAUCGAAAGAUGUGCUAAUACCGCAUAUUCUCCAAGGAGGAAAGCAGGGGAUCGAAAGACCUUGUGCUUUUAGAGCGGCCGAUGCCUGAUUAGCUAGUUGGUGGGGUAAAGGCCUACCAAGGCAACGAUCAGUAGCUGGUCUGAGAGGACGACCAGCCACACGGGGGCUGAGACACGGCCCAGACUCCUACGGGAGGCAGCAGUGGGGAAUUUUGGAAAAUGGGCGUAAGCCUGAUCCAGCCAUGCCGCGUGAGUGAAGAAGGCCUUCGGGUUGUAAAGCUCUUUCGGUCGGGAAGAAAUAGUUGUGGCUAAUAUCUGCAAUGAAUGACGGUACCGACAUAAGAAGCACCGGCUAACUACGUGCCAGCCGCCGCAGUAACAC
rnacentral:rRNA from 1 species